AAAGAAGGUGACUGAGCCAGGAGGAGAGCACAGAUGGCUUGGUGGUGGUAUGGUGUGGUCCUCCUUCCCCUUCCCUCUUAGGCAUGGGGAGUGGAGCAACAGACGGAGAGUGGCAUGAAGACACAAAGGAGGAAGCACACCAUUGCCAAGACCCCAAGGAAGAAGGAUGGAAAGCGCUGGCAGUCCUGCCUGGCCCCCAGCCAGUUCCCUGCUGAAGAUGGCCAGAUCCCCUUGUCUGGUGUGCCUGCACAGGAGACAGCACCAGCCAAGCUGAUUGUAUAUCUACAGCGUUUCCGGCCUCAAGACUAUCAGCGCCUGCUAGAAGUGAACAGCUCCAGAGAGAGGCCACAGGAGACUGAAGAUCCUGACCACUGCCUGGGCUAGGGGUGUCACUUCCUGGAAGGGGAAGGGAACUCUGGGUCUAACGGAGUCCACUCCUGGGCCCACUGUGCCUCUCCCCUCAGUGUCCCUUCUGACAGUGACUCCUCUCUCUCCAGCGCUGCCUGUUUCUUCCCCCUCCUCUAAGCUACUCUUCCUUGAGCCCUCCCUGGCUGCUUCCUCUCGCUCAUCCGUCAGAUGCAAUCUGUGGGCCGCCCCUCUCCCCUGGCCGCUAAGCAGCCUCCAUUGAUUUCCGCUCGUGUUUAUAGGAUUUCCACUUAGCCGUGAUCAGUAGUUAAGCACAGGAAAAUCCCUUGCCACCCCCCCUCCCUUGGUCGAUGCCAUUGAUUCUGCCAGCGGCUCCUAAACCGCCUUACAGCUGAGUUAGAAGAUGAGGAGAGGCAGCAGGGAUUUCCCUGCCUUGGGGUGUGGGAAACAGAAGAAAGUUGAGGAAAUGGUUGGGAAUCGCUGUUAGAACUCUAGAAAUUCUAAUCUGACUUUGCCACUGUGCCCAGCUCUGGCCCAGAGGGUAGAGUGCCUCCUGUGGAAGUUUAGGGGCAAAUUUGUUCCCUGACCUGGAGAGGGUUAGAAAGAACCAACAGCUGCCCCCUCCCCGCCCCCGUGUUGAGACAGGUUCUCAAGGCUCAGGGGAAGAUGCAUACCUCCUAUGUAAGAAUGCUUUUCCCUUGCUGUUAUUCAUACACACUUUCCACUUCAAAUAUACCCAAAUAUGGCUUUCCUCACUUCUCAGGCUUUAUUGGGCUUUAUUUGUGGGAGAAGGGGGCUGGUCCCCAGUUUUUGCAGUGCAAAGCCAGAGCGCCACCUGCUGGUAGCCCUCAGGUGUAGGUUCGAAGCUGCUGGGGCCCCCUGGGGUUUGGGACACAGGAGAAUUUCAGGCUGUGAGUGGAGACAGUUACUGCCACGAUUCCACAGGCAAGUUGUUCACCUCAAAGAUCUCCUGCACCGACUGGUGAAAGUGGUCGUAGGUGAGGCGCAGCUUUAGCCGCAGGGGGGCCUAGGAAUAGGAGAGCAGGGACCAGGGUUAGCACCCACGGCUUCUUCUAUCCCUGGGUCUUGUCUUGGGGGAACUCCUGAAGCUCACCUUGUUAGGAUUGAGGAUUCUGAAGAGCUGGGUGAUAGGAAGGCCACCCCGAGCUGGAACUGUGUUCCCACUGGGGGCCUGCAGCUGCAGCUGGAGACUCUGAACACAGGAGUUUAACAGAGCACAGUAUGGCAGUAGGUAGGGCUCAGGCAGCCCCUCUAUACUCAGUGGCUCCACACCCUUUUCCUGUAACUCCCCAAGUGCUGAUCUCCAGAUGACUCAAUCCCAUCUCACACUGUCUCCCACCCAUCUCCUCCACUUAGUGGCCUUUUCUCCUGGAGUCCCCAGGCCACCUCUGAACUCUGAUCUUUACAAACCUUGGGCACAGCAGCCUGGCAGAUGAAAUGGGUGACAUCACCCUCUGAGAAGUUGGUGGCAGUGACGGUGAUUAACAGCAAAGCAGGGUUUUCAGGGGGUCGAAUGAAAGACAGAUUCAGCUGUACUCCCUCACGCUCAAACACUUUGAGAUCUGGGAUGGGAGCUGGAGUAGGGAGACAGAGGCAGCUCAGUGUGCAGGUUUGAGAGAACAUGUUUGUUCAUUCAUUCAACAAAAAUUGAGCAAACACCUGCUGGCCCUGCACUACUCGAAAGGCUAGUAACAAAGUAGACAUGUAGAUGAGGAUGGAGCUUACUGUCUAAUGGGGGAGAGAAACAAUAAAAAAAGGCCGGGCAUGGUGGCUCAUGCCUGUAAUCCCAGCACUUUGGGAAGCUGAGGCGGGUGGAUCACCUGAGGCCCGGACUUGGGAGGCUGAGACACAAGAACAGCUUGAACCCGGGAGGCAGAGGUUGCAGUGAGCCGAGAUCACGCCACUGCACUCCAGCCUGGGUGACAGAGCAAGACGCUGUCUC
rnacentral:antisense_RNA from 1 species